AUUGAACGCUGGCGGCAUGCCUUACACAUGCAAGUCGAACGGUAACGCGGGGCAACCUGGCGACGAGUGGCGAACGGGUGAGUAAUGCAUCGGAACGUGCCCGGUAGUGGGGGAUAACUGCUCGAAAGAGCAGCUAAUACCGCAUACGACCUGAGGGUGAAAGGGGGGGAUCGCAAGACCUCUCGCUAUCGGAGCGGCCGAUGUCGGAUUAGCUAGUUGGUGGGGUAAAAGCCCACCAAGGCAACGAUCCGUAGCUGGUCUGAGAGGACGACCAGCCACACUGGGACUGAGACACGGCCCAGACUCCUACGGGAGGCAGCAGUGGGGAAUUUUGGACAAUGGACGCAAGUCUGAUCCAGCCGUGCCGCGUGCGGGAAGAAGGCCUUCGGGUUGUAAACCGCUUUUGUCAGGGAAGAAAUCUUCUGAGUUAAUACCUCGGGAGGAUGACGGUACCUGAAGAAUAGGCACCGGCUAACUACGUGCCAGCCGCCGCGGUAAGAC
rnacentral:rRNA from 1 species